rnacentral:other from 2 species
GGCUCCCUGAGGUGUUUGCCCAUUGGUUACGUCCCUUGAGCCGAUAACUAGCAGUUUGGAUUUUUCUUGUGAGUGUUGUGUGCAUGUCCGUCUUCGGAAAGCCUGAUACACUUCGGAGAUCUCCUCCUUGAACCUUCGGGUUCAGGGCCACAACCAGUAGCGGCAUCUUGGGGAGUCU